CCUACGGGAGGCAGCAGUGAGGAAUAUUGGUCAAUGGGCGCGAGCCUGAACCAGCCAAGUCGCGUGAGGGAUGACGGCCCUACGGGUUGUAAACCUCUUUUGCCGGGGAGCAACGGGCGCCACGUGUGGCGCCACUGAGAGUACCCGGAGAAAAAGCAUCGGCUAACUCCGUGCCAGCAGCCGCGGUAAUACGGAGGAUGCGAGCGUUAUCCGGAUUUAUUGGGUUUAAAGGGUGCGUAGGCGGAACGUUAAGUCAGUGGUAAAAUUGAGGGGCUCAACCCCUUCCCGCCAUUGAAACUGGCGCUCUUGAGUGGAAGAGAAGUAUGCGGAAUGCGUGGCGUGGCGGUGAAAUGCAUAGAUAUCACGCAGAACUCCGAUUGCGAAGGCAGCGUACCGGCGCCAGACUGACGCUGAGGCACGAAAGCGUGGGGAUCGAACAGGAUUAGAUACCCGGGUAGUC
rnacentral:rRNA from 1 species